rnacentral:rRNA from 1 species
CCUACGGGUAGCAGCAGUGAGGAAUAUUGGUCAAUGGGCUUACGCCUGAACCAGCCAAGUCGCGUGAGGGAAGACUGCCCUAUGGGUUGUAAACCUCUUUUGUCAGGGAGCAAUUGGCGCUACGUGUAGCGUUAUCGAGAGUACCUGAAGAAAAAGCAUCGGCUAACUCCGUGCCAGCAGCCGCGGUAAUACGGAGGAUGCGAGCGUUAUCCGGAUUUAUUGGGUUUAAAGGGUGCGUAGGCGGAAUGCCAAGUCAGCGGUAAAAUCGCGGGGCUCAACCUCGCUCCGCCGUUGAAACUGGCGGUCUUGAGUGGGCGAGAAGUAUGCGGAAUGCGUGGUGUAGCGGUGAAAUGCAUAGAUAUCACGCAGAACUCCGAUUGCGAAGGCAGCAUACCGGCGCCCAACUGACGCUGAAGCACGAAAGCGUGGGUAUCGAACAGGAUUAGAUACCCUGGUAGUC